GGAAAAUUGGUGAAAAUUUGUGUCCAGUGUUUUAUCUGCAAUGACCAUCCGAAAAUAAUCAUUUGCAUGCAUGUAUAAAUAUAUAUAUAUAUAUAUAUGAAAGGGGGAAGUCGUUCUGGUAAUCAGAGUAAAUAUAGCUGAAGUCUUUUAAGUUCCUCACUGGAUGCAUUGUGCUCUGAGGCUGUUUGUUUGUUUGGGGUUUGUUGUUGUUUUCCUUAUGUAUUGUUACCAGAGCAGAU
rnacentral:lncRNA from 1 species